AAAAUCCGGGGGGCUAAGCUGAGGCGUGAUGACGAGGAACCACGGUUCCGAAGUGAUUGAUACCAAGCUUCCAGGAAAAGCCACUAAGCUUCAGUCUAGAGUUGACCGUACCGCAAACCGACACAGGUGGGCAGGAUGAAAAUUCUAAGGCGCUUGAGAGAACUCAGGAGAAGGAACUCGGCAAAUUAACACCGUAACUUCGGGAGAAGGUGUGCCCCGGUAGCGUGUAGAGACUUGCUCUCGAAGCGCGAUGGGGUUGCAGUGAAAUGGUGGCUGCGACUGUUUAAUAAAAACACAGCACUCUGCAAACACGAAAGUGGACGUAUAGGGUGUGACGCCUGCCCGGUGCCGGAAGGUUAAGUGAUGGGGUGCAAGCUCUUGAUCGAAGCCCCGGUAAACGGCGGCCGUAACAAUAACGGUCCUAAGGUAGCGAAAUUCCUUGUCGGGUAAGUUCCGACCUGCACGAGUGGCGUAACGAUGGCCACACUGUCUCCUCCUGGGACUCAGCGAAGUUGAAAUGUUUGUGAAGAUGCAAUCUACCCGCGGCUAGACGGAAAGACCCCAUGAACCUUUACUGUAGCUUCGCAUUGGACUUUGAACCGGUUUGUGUAGGAUAGGUGGGAGACUGUGAAGCCGGGACGCUAGUUUCGGUGGAGUCAACCUUGAAAUACCACCCUGAUUUGUUUGAGGUUCUAACCUUGGUCCGUGAAUCCGGAUCGGGGACCGUGCAUGGUAGGCAGUUUGACUGGGGCGGUCUCCUCCCAAAAGGUAACGGAGGAGUACGAAGGUACGCUUAGGGCGGUCGGACAUCGCCCACAAAGUGCAAUGGCAAAAGCGUGCUUGACUGCGAGACCCACAAGUCGAGCAGGUACGAAAGUAGGUCAUAGUGAUCCGGUGGUUCUGUAUGGAAGGGCCAUCGCUCAACGGAUAAAAGGUACUCUGGGGAUAACAGGCUAAUUCCUCCCAAGAGUUCAUAUCGACGGGGGAGUUUGGCACCUCGAUGUCGGCUCAUCACAUCCUGGGGCUGUAGUCGGUCCCAAGGGUAUGGCUGUUCGCCAUUUAAAGUGGUACGCGAGCUGGGUUUAAAACGUCGUGAGACAGUUUGGUCCCUAUCUGCCGUGGGCGCUGGAAAUUUGAAGGGGGCUGCUCCUAGUACGAGAGGACCGGAGUGGACGAACCUCUGGUGUACCGGUUAUGACGCCAGUCGUAUCGCCGGGUAGCUAAGUUCGGAAGAGAUAAACGCUGAAAGCAUCUAAGCGUGAAACUCGCCUUAAGAUAAGAUUUCCCGGAGUCUUGAACUC
rnacentral:rRNA from 1 species